rnacentral:lncRNA from 1 species
UUAUAAUUUUUAAUAAUUUCACAUCGUAUGUAGCAUCAAUUACAUUAAAAAAUAUAUAUACAAGCAUAUUAUUACUCUUUUUUAUUUAUUUUUAAUGGCUAAUAGAGAAUCUAGUGAAUUUCCAAAUUAGAAUUGGCAUCUUCAUCUCAAUUUGCAUUUCACGUCACGUGUUUCCCAUUUUAUAAUUUAACGCGCAUUUCGAUGGGAUAAGGAGGCCCGGGCCCCAUCUUGUUGGGGGUUUUCUUACGGAAUCUUCGAUGAGCACAAAUUACUUCACUUCCCAAUUAUUUGGUGUAAGUAAUCGGAAUCAACCCACAUGCCAAGGAAAAAAAAAAUUUAAUUUAUAAAUUUAUUUAUCUAUUUAUUACACACACACAUAUAUAGAGGAAGAUUAUGUGGUAGUAUUUUCCUCAUAGUAUCUAUGUUAUUUCGACGACCUCAAUUAUCGACGUGCAGUAUUGUAACAUAACAUAUCAUACUAAUCAUAUAUAUUUAAGGUACGAUAAUAAUUGUAUCUCAUUAUUAGACUCAUUAGUUCAGUUGAUAAAAUUUUUUAAUUGUAUUAUAACAGGUACUAAAGUAAUAAAAUUUAUCAAAGGUUCAAGCGAUUGAAAACAAAUUCUAAGAGGGAUGAAUUGAAACUAUCAUCUUACUAGUUAAAUUUUGUCUUUAACGGAAGAAGACAACAGCGUAUAUCAAUCAUGUUACACUUGGGUUCCUCUACGAUGCUGUAAAUUUUUUUACAGCAUCAAUAAUGUAUUAAUUCUGAACCAUUAGAUCUAAUCAAUGGUAUACAAUAUUUGUACUAAAAAAAUAAUUUAAAAAUAAUGGUAACCGUUCAAGUGGAUAGAUAAUUUUUAUAAAAUAAUUGUGACCACCCUUAGAGUUUGAAACAAUUUCACUUAAAUAGUAUAUUUUAUUUAAAAUUACUUUUCAGUCCUCCUUUAAAUUUGUAAUAUGAUAAUUUCUUUUAAAUAAAUCUUCCAAAAUCAGUUACCAUUAAGUAUAAAAUAUAAUAUCAAGUAGGCUAUUUAACACAAAGUCUUGUAAUAAUUUGUAUUGUAUGAAUUUAAUUACAAACCACUAAUACGUAAACAAUAAUGAUAAUAGAAAGCAUUGCAAUAAACGAUUUUAUAUGUGUUUUAUUAAUAAUACUAUAUGAGUCACAACAAAUGAGAAAUAUUUUAUUCACCAAUUAUUAUUGAAAAAUAUAUAUGUCUAUAUAACUAUAGAGUGAGAAAUAUUUUGAUUUAAAUUUUUAUCAAAAAAUUAAACUAUUUAUUUCAUGCAAUUCAAUGGUGGAGGAUAUAACAUUAUGAAAUGGUGCUUUGACUUUCAAUAUCAACCAUUAGACUAUGAGAUAUUAGUGGCUCAAAUAUUGUACCAAAAUUUUAAGUUAAAGUAUCACAAACCAUAUCUUUAUAAUGGAAAUAUAAAAACAUACAAUGAUUUUUUUCCUCAUUUUGUCCAUUAAAUAUUAUUUGAUGUAAUAUUUAUUUAUUGUCACUAUUAAUUAUCAUAAUAAAAGUAAUGACUCUUCGUAGCAUAUAAAUUUUAUAAUUACUAUCAAAGAAUAACAAUAAAAUAAUCUUUCAUGAUUUAUAAACUAAAGUUAAUUAGGAGUAUGUGUUAGAUUUAACUUUUAUGAAAUUAACAAAGUGACAUUUGAAAAUAAAAUGAAAACAAGCUUGUGAAAGUUAAAUUUUAUAAGGCUGAGAUAAUUUCCUACCAUGUCAAUAAAAAUCUAAAAAUAUAAAUGAUUUUCUUUCACUUUUGUUCCCACGUAAAUAUUAUUGAAGGCAAUAUUUUAUUUAUUAUCACUAUUAACUAUCAUAACAAAAGUAAUGACCCGUCAUAACAUAAAAUUUUAUAAUUACAAUAAAAGGAUAUCAAUAAAAUAAUCUUUCACGAUUCAUAAACUAAAGCUCAUUAGGAAUAUAUAUUCAAUUUAACUUUUAUGAAAUUAACAAAGUAAUAUUUGAAAAUAAAAUAAAAAUAUAUAAGCUUAUAAAACUUAAAACUCCUACCAUGUAAGGAUAUUAACUAUAAGAUAAAUAUAAAGUUAAGAAAAUAAGUAUGUUAAAUGGGUAUUAAAAAUAAUACAUACUUCAUGAUCAAUUAUAUAAUGACCCUCAGUAUUAUAUAAAAUAAUGAGUAUUUUAAUAUACGAUAUUAAAUUUUAUUAAAACAUGUGUGAUCAAGUAAUUUUUAUGUUGCAAGCAAUCUCAACAAUGAGUUUAUUGAUGUAACUAUGACAUUUACUUAAGUAUAUGUACUUAGUUGUGUUAUUUAUUAGUGUUAUAUCAUAUAUAAAUUUUGUAAUUGCAACUUAUUUAUUUGAUUUGUGUUAAAUAAUCUACCAUUAUAUUUUAUACUUAAUAGAAAUAGAUUUUGGAAGAUUUAUUUAAAAAAGAUUAUCACAUUUCAAAUUUAAAGGAGGAUUGAAAAAUAAUUUUAAAUAAAAUAUGCUAUUUAAGUGAAAUUGUUUCAAACUCUAAGGGUGGUCAUAGUUAUUUUACAAACUUCUCCACCCCUUACACGUUUGUUAACCGUUUACCAUUAUUUUUUAUUUUUAUUUUUGCCUACAAAUAUUGUGUACCAUUGAUUAAAUCCAAUGGUGCACAAUUAAAAAUAUUAUUAAUGCUGUAAAAAAAUUACAGCAUCAUAGAGGAACCCUACUUAUAAAUAAUCAUUAGAAAUUAAUGAAAAUAUCUAAGAAUUGUAAUUAUGGAGUGAUUGAGAGUAGGAUAAGAAUAAAUUAUCUUUACUUAUCCGAUCAUUAUCUUAUAAGAGCUGGAAUUGAAGGAAUUAAUCAUACUAUCAUAGCGAGUGAAGAGGAAGAAAGAACUUGACUAAAUUAAAUGUCUCUCAUUUAAGGAGUACAUGUAUCCAAAUAAUUUAUUUCACAAAAUAUUAAGUUCAUAUCAAACAGUAACAUACGUCGCUGCAUUAUUUUUUGUCGAGGAAGAUGAGAGGUAACGUUAGAAAUGUUCUUCAUCGAAUUAAUGGAUAAGGUUGAUGCAUGGCGAACGUGCUUAAUUAAACCAAAUCAAACUAAUUUCCUUUUGAAUAUUAGUAAUGGCUGCUCGAUCAUUCAAGCUUGCACUUGUGUCAAUAUAUAAUUGAUGAAGCUGUAAAUCUAUCACUUAUGAUUAAAUGAAAGAAAUACGCGUACACGGAUGCAUGCAUUAUCAAAUACCUAAUCACUACCGAUUUUGAUUUUAUACUUUGGCAUUUUAUACAGCUCAACCCCUGUUUUUAAAAUGCGUCCCCCAUGACUAGCAGCCAUGCAGGUACGUAUCUAACACUCAUCUAGAUAAAAAAAAAAAUAACCAUUUUAUUCCCAAAACAAAAAUUACAAUUUCACCCUAAAAAAUACCAAAAAUAAUAAGAUUUAAUGAUGAAUAUCAUUAUUGGUAUGUUAAUGAAGUACAAAAAAAUCUUAACUACUAGAGAUUAUAACUCAAUGAAUAAUAAAACUCUACUUAUCUUAAAUUCAAUUGAUGGUUUGCGAGAUUGGACUAUUUUUAAUACUACUGUUAUAAUUUAGCAUUCUAAUUACAGAUAUAUUUAAAAAAAAAUCUUGCAUUUGAUGGUUAUGGAAUUAAUUUCUUUAUUGACCGAUGGGGAAAAUAAGUAGAUUUAAUUUGAUCAUUUUUGGCAUUUUUUAGGGUGAAAUUAUAAUUUUCGUUUUGGGGGGUAAAAUUGUCAUUUUUUAAGUUUCCGUUAGUUUUCUUAACGGAUUCCAAACGGAAGUGGAAAAGUGAAAUAAAAUGUAACUUUAGGUGGAUUCCAGCAAAAAAAAAAAUUGUGUAUUUUUUAAAAAGUUAGAAAAAGUAGGUGGACGGUGGAUAUUUUCCCUAAUUAAUAUUUACUUACCUAAAAAUAUUCAAUUCCCACUUCACCAUCAUAUUUUUCACAAAAAAAAAAGGCAUUCUUAUUGCAAGAAUGUUAACAGUAUGUUUGGAAUUGCCUAGAUUCUCAAUUAAUCACUUCUGAAUUAGAUUUCAUAAUAAUCAGUUUUCUAAAUAAUUU